AGCACGGGCGCAGAGGCGCGUGCGCGGCGGGCAGCCGUUGGCUGGAGCAGCGGAUGCGCAGGUCGCUGUGUUGUGAGGUCUACGGGCGCUGGCAAAUCGGGCCCAGGAUGUAGAGCUGGCUGUGCCUGACGGCGCGUCUGACGCGAAGUUGGGUGGGGUAGAGAGUAGGGGGCGGUAGUCGGGGGUGGUGGGAGAAGGAGGAGGCGGCGAAUCACUUAUAAAUGGCGCCCAAGCAGGACCCGAAGCCGAAAUUCCAGGAGGGUGAGUCUGUGCCCUUGGGAAAAGGCAUCUAACGGCGCAGGGGAGGGAGGCGGGCUCGGGACGGUCGAGGCUUGCGGGCCGGGCGAAGCGCGAGCCGCGCCCAGAGAAGGCGGCGGGCUUUGCUUUGUGCGGGGAAAGCGCAUUGCAGAGGGUGAGUUGUAGUGCGUCAUCUGGAAAAAAUGUUCUGUGAAGCGAAAGCAUAGCUAGGGCUUCGGAGUGGAGAGGGAGCGCUUAGUGCGUGGCAAGGCGUUCGUGCAUGUUAUUGUUCUGAGGAAGAGGGCGCGGAGAAAGCAGCCUAUUGUAGGGAGGCGACUGGGGCGCGAUGGCGGCGGUUAGGGGAAGUGAUGUGGCGGUGUGUGGGGGGGAGCGGCGCCUGUUUUGCGAGCUCGCGCCGGUUGCCUGGCCUCGUGGUCAGCAACGGCUGGCGGUCCCGGGCCGUCUGGAGUACCCUCAACCCUCCUCGGCAUGGUUGAAACGUUCGGUCUCCAUGUUGUUGUGGAGCGUGGGGGUUGGUUUGGCGCCCCGGGGCGGGAGAACUGCGUUGUAAAAUGGCCGCUGCAAGAUGGCCGCGCCAUCAUGGCCGCUGGCGUCUCGGCGCCGUGCGCCGGCGCCGCUUCAGGGCAGAUGCGGCGCCCCCUUGCACGGCGACCUCGCGCAGACCCGGUGCUAACGUUUACCUCAGUGGUGGGUGGGGAUUAAGGGGGAAAAAAAUCCCGAGGAGCGGGUAGGGCGUUUCCGUCAGUUUGGUGUUGCCCGAAGGCAUCAUUUUAGCUUACCUGAGAGCACCGCGCCUAAAUCCUACGGUAAAGUGAGUGCGCUCUUCCUGUGCGGUCGCUCGUAAAAAAAUAAUUAAAAGCGACUUCAGUGUUAAGGGCUAAGUCCCUGGUCUUAACGUGAUUUUUAAAAAAUACAGCAGUUUGACCAGUUGCAGUAAUAUUUGAUUCACAAUAAUUGGAAAGCUUAUUGAUUAUUAUUUUGGAUUUACUGACGUUAGAAUCUGACUUCCAGUGAAGAUCGCUCUUCCAGUGCUUCCAGUCCAUCUAUUUGGGUGGAGAUUUAAGAUUAAACUGAAAAGGAAGUAAAACUGUAGGCAAAGAGGAACUGCAUUUCUCUAUGGAUGUACAUGCCAGUUACCAUAAGUUCCAUGUCCAAACGCUUGCAUAAUUUUCUCAUUUAAGAUUUUUCAAAAGUUUUUGAUAUAUAUAUUUUAGUUUUUAGUUGUAGUCGGACACAACCCCUUUGUUUUAUUUAUUUAUUUUAUGUGGUGCUGGGAAUCGAACUCAGGGCCUCACACGUGCUAAGUGAGCGCUCUAUGGCUGAACCCAAGCCCAGAGUUUUCAGAUUUUUAAUGCGUUGAAAUUACUUCCACGAAUCAUAAAACCCAAACAAGUAUAUUGAAACUAUGGUGUAUUUAAGGGGUUUCAGGGGGUGUUUUCGGUGAUAGGUGGCCAUUAAUACCUGUUUCUCUCAUUUGGGUAAACUGACUUUUUAUAGAUUUCUUUAUUCUUCUAGGUGAUUCAGAACAAGGUUUUUGUUUUUGUUUCUUUGUUUUUUAAAUGGUACUUGGUUUUGAACCCAGGGCCUCACAUAUGCCAAGCAAGCACUUUACCACUAGUCAGUGGAUAUAAUGAAAAUGGAAUGUGAACUUGAAUGGGGAAAAUAGUGUGUUUAUCAUCUAGCUGAAAUUUAUUAUUUCAAUUAUCAAUUUACAUCCUCACAAAAGAAAACAGAAGUAUUAGCUGUUCGUUUUUAUGUUUCACUGUUACCUGAAAAAUAUAUGAAGCUAUUGUUUUUGGUACUGGAUAUGGAACCCAGGGGCCCUUUACCACCACUGAGUUACAUAUCCUUUAAUUUUUUUUUUUUUUUUAAGUUGCUGAGGCUGAUGUGGAACUUGGAAUCCUCCUGCCUCAUCUUCCCUAGUUGCUGGGAUUACAGGCAUGUGCUGCCACACCUGGCUUAUUAUUAAGAUGUUAUUUAUGCUCAUUGCUUCAAAAUUAUGGUAGUUAAUUGGCUUAGCAGUUAAAUCUUGUUUACUGCAUUAAAUAAGGGACUCCCUAAUAUCAGAGAAAGCAAUGUUUAAAAUAGCUUUGAAAACAGCUUCAACAGUUGUUUUCUUUUGUAAUUUGGUGUGUUUUAUGUGUUUAUUAAAAUAUUCUGAGAGGUCAUAAAGCUUCACCAGGCUAUCAGUACAAAAACUUAAUCGCAGAAUCCCUCCGGAGGGGCAGUCAAGGGUGUCCAUUUUGGAGGAAGGAAGUGCUUUAGUUCUAGCAGGAUGUUAGAGUGAGGUGGAGAAUAACAGCUAACCAGAAUCCCUGUGCUGGUUAUAGUUGUAUAAUUGGAGAAGAGUAGGAACAAAGACACCCCUGGGCAAGAUUGUGAAAGCUAUUUAAGGUUUUCUACAUUUACGGUUAUUUUCCAGGUAUGUUUUCACUUGAAUUUCGAAGCUGAGUUGUAUCACCUUUGAGAAAUUUUAAGAUGUUAAGAGAAUAUUUUGAAAAAAUAUUUAGUGCUAACAAGAUUAUCUUGAAAUGCUGUAGAAGAGUAGAAAUAAGAGUUGUCAUAAAAUGUCCCCCCCCCCCAAUUCUUUUAAUUUUUUUAUUUAUGUGGUGCUGAGGACCGAACCCAGGGCCUUUUGUAUGUAAGGCAAACAUUCUACCCUUAGCUACAACCCCAGCCCCUCUCCCCCCAAAUUCUUAUAAAUGCAGAAGUUUUUUCUUACACGGUAAAAUGUAUUUUCCAUUAGCAGUUUAAGCAGAGUGACUUUUUUGCACAGAACUUGGUCUUCUACUUGAAGUUCUGUUAAAGCAUAGGAUAGCACAGUGUCACAGGCCUGUAAUCCCAGCCACUCCCAGUGACUUUGUAGCCUGAGACAGAAGGAUGGCAAGUUGAAAGCAGGUCUGGGCACUGAAGUGAGACCCUAUCUCAAAGUGAAAGGGUUUGGGAUGUAGCUCAGUGGUAAAGCGCCCUUGGGUUCAAUCCACAGUACCCACCCCGACACCCCCCCAAUGGGAUAAAACAAAAUCGUGGGCAUCUAGUCAUUGUUUGAGGGAAGACUGACUCUGUCAGGAAAGUACCAACCAGUGGGAGAAUGGAAAACUUUGAAUUUGACAGCAUUUGGGCAGAAUUACCUUUGUAGUUUGAUAUUAGAAAACAUUUAGGGUGGAGAAAGUUUCCUAUCUGAUAACAGUGGGUUGCUGGUUCCCCAAUCUUUUUGUCCAUUGCCAAGAAAAAUAGGCUUUUUUCUUUCUUUCUUUUUAAAUCAUGGUUUAUACUCUUCAGGUAGCUGUUAUGUUUUUUCAACUAAAUAUUAUGGAUAGGUAACUAGAGAUCCAAGAGGGCCUCAGUGCAGUAGUUUUGGUAUCAGCAGUCAAGAUUUUUUUUUAAAAAGUAUGCUAUUUCAGAAUGCCUUGAAAAUAUAUCUGGAGGGCUGGGGAUGUGGCUCAAGCGGUAGCGCGCUCGCCUGGCAUUCGUGCGGCUGGGGUUCAAUCCUCAGCAUCACAUACAAACAAAGAUGUUGUGUCCGCCAAUAACUAAAAAAUAAAAAUAUUAAAAAAGAAAGAAAAUAUAUCGGAAAGUGAAACGAGAGAGAUCCAUAUAUGAUCUUUGGUGCUACUGUUUAUUAGUAGAGUAGUUUACCCAUUUUAGUUCUUGUCCUUGGGAUGUUGGAGAAGUUUUUGACUAAUCUGUAAUCACCUUAAAAUUCAAGCUGGAUAUAGGCCCAGUAGCCUCUAGCAGUAAUUCUUCAAAGAGGAAUUGCACAAAGAUUUUAUGAGAAUUUUGAUUUAAAAGUGAAAGUUAUUGCAGAGUCUAAUAAUAAGAGAUUCUGUCUCUGGUGAGGCUUGAAAUUAAAUACAUAGUUGAAGAAUACUCUAAAAGAUCUUUGAUUAAUUUUGGGAAUUCUGUAGGAUGAAAUUUAGACUUCAUAGCAUGACCUAUAUGAUGUUUCAUAUUUCAUAGUCUCUGUGACUUUCACAUGUUUAUCCUGUGCUCCAGGGGUAGUGAACUGCAAAGUAUUUCUGAUAGUGGUUAACACUUCAGUGCUUUUGUACGAGUUGUUUACACUAUCUUCCUUCUUUGUGACUCUCCCAAGUAGCUCAUUAGGCAUUCUCUCUAUUACUUAUGAAGGUAGUUACUGCAUGAAAUCCAGGAAAUUGUACAAACCUAUUUGUCUAGGUGUGAGGGUCCUUUAUUAAUCUGUCAGUGCCUUGCACAAUAGGUCGCAUACAAACCCAGAUAACUGUAUUGAGAAAUAUUAAGAUACGCUGUGGAAUUAACUAUUUCAGGUUGAAGGUAUAUCCAUAAAUCAUGUUUUUCUUUUAAAGCUAUGCUUUAAAAGCAAUACCAUGUAAUUUUAAAAUGGUGGAACCUAUAGUUAACUAGAAUUGGUCUAGUAGGUUAUUUCAGUUUUUACAGCUAAAGCAGUUUGACCCUGUUGAAUACUUUAAUUGCCUCUGGAUGUGUUGAAACCAAAUGGACAGAAAAUUGUGUGAGAUCUUUGUUACAUACCAAGUGUAAUCUGAGGCAAUUACCAGAAAUUGCCUGCAUGAUUUGUUUUAUCAUAGAGAUGAGAUGUCUCAUCCAAUAGCACUCUUGAGAUUUUGUAUGGUUUUAUUAUUCUAAUGAUGAGCUCAAUAUAUAGUGUAAGUUCUAAAGGUGAGGAUUUUUUUUUUGUCUAUUGUUUUGUUCAUUGUACAUUAUUGAACAUAUUUGAGGAAUGAACACAGAUAGCUGAUGCCUUAAAAUUCCAGCCAACUUGCAUGCACAUUGAAAUUUCAAUGUGUAGAAUAUUUUGCUAAGUAAAAGCAUAGGAAGUAGAGAUGUAGGUGGAAGUUUAAAUUCCUAAAACUUACAAAAAUACAUAAAAAAGCAUUUUAAAAAUUGGAUUCCUGGGGCUGGAGUUGUAGCUCAGUGGUUGAACGCUUGCCUAGUAUGUGUGAGGCACUGGGUUCCAUCCUCAGCAGCACAUAAAAAUAAAUAAGAUAUAUAUAACUUCAAAACAAAACCCUGGAUUUCUGGAUAAUACUGUUAGAAUAAAUUGAUCAUCCUUCUCAAUAGGUAGUGCAGUAAAUAAUUAUUUGCUUAGUGGUUGAUGAUUUAAAUAAAUUGCUAACACUAAUUGUUUUGGUUUAUUUUAUAUGCCCUGGCAUAAGCUUAUGGUGAAGUUUAAUCUGAAUUUUAUAUGCCCUGUGCUUUACCCAUUUUUCCUAAUAUUGCUAGGAUUAUAAUAAAAUGUGAUGGUUCUCAGAUUUGAAUCUAUAUAUGGAAAGGGUUUAGAAUUAAUGCAAUACUUUUCACUUUUACAGGUGAGCGAGUGCUGUGCUUUCAUGGGCC
rnacentral:lncRNA from 1 species